GCUGAUGUGGUAUAGUGGUUUGAGCAUUGGACUAUGACUCUGCAGAUCAGGGUUCGAAUCCCAGCCCAGCC